CCUACUUGCUACAAUUGUUAGUGUUUUGCAAGUUGCAAAAGGUUAGUUUGUUUGUUAUGGUAGGACUAGGAGAGUAUACUGAAUUGUUAGUGUUAAAUUGCUGGUGAAACUAAGUGGAGGUCCGAACCGACUGAUGUUGAAGAAUCAGCGGAUGAGUUGAGGUUAGGGAUGAAAUGCCAUUCGAACCCAGAGCUAGCUGGUUCUCCCAGAAAUGCGUUGAGGCGCAGCAGUUGACUGGACAUCUAAGGGUAAAGCACUGUUUCGGUGCGGGCCGCGAGAGCGGUACCAAAUCGAGGCAAACUCUAAAUACUAGAUAUGACCUCAAAAUAACAGGGGUCAAGGUCGGCCAGUGAGACGAUGGGGGAUAAGCUUCAUCGUCGAGAGGGAAACAGCCCGGACCACCAGCUAAGGCCCCUAAAUGAUCCGUGAUAAAGGAGGUAGGGAUGCAGAGACAGCCAGGAGGUUUGCCUAGAAGCAGCCACCCUUGAAAGAGUGCGCCGAAGAUGAACGGGGCUAAGCGAUUUGCCGAAGUUGUGGGAUGUAAAAAUACAUCGGUAGGGGAGCGUUUCGCCUUAGAGUGAAGCACCCCGCGAGCGGUAGUGGACGAAGCGGAAGCGAGAAUGUCGG
rnacentral:lncRNA from 1 species